UACAGAGGUCCCGAGCGUUAUGCGGAAUCAUUGGGCUUAAAGCGUGUGUAGGCGGAGUGCUAAGUACGUUGUGAAAUCCCACGGCUCAACCGUGGAACUGCUCGGUAUACUGGUUCUCUUGAGCCACCUAGGGGCAACCGGAACAAACGGUGGAGCGGUGAAAUGCGUAGAUAUCGUUUGGAACGCCAAUGGUGAAAACAGGUUGCUGGGGGUGUGCUGACGCUGAGACACGAAAGCCAGGGGAGCAAACGGG
rnacentral:rRNA from 1 species